CUUACCAGCCCUUGACCCCCCGAUCGUGGUUAGUGGAGACACUUACCGUCAGUUUGGCUGGAUCGNAGACAGGUGCUGCAUGGCUGUCGUCAGCUCGUGUCGUGAGAUGUUGGGUUAAAUCCCGCAACGAGCGCAACCCUCGCUCUUAGUUGCCAUCAUUCAGUUGGGCACUCUAAGGGGACUGCCGGUGAUAAGCUGGAGGAAGGUGGGGAUGACGUCAAGUCCUCAUGGCCCUUACGGGCUGGGCUACACACGUGCUACAAUGGUGGUGACAGUGGGCAGCGAGACCGCGAGGUUGAGCUAAUCUCCAAAAACCAUCUCAGUUCGGAUUGCACUCUGCAACUCGGGUGCAUGAAGUUGGAAUCGCUAGUAAUCGUGGAUCAGCAUGCCACGGUGAAUACGUUCCCGGGCCUUGUACACACCGCCCGUCACACCAUGGGAGUUGGCUUUACCCGAAGGUGCUGUG
rnacentral:rRNA from 2 species